CAGUAGCCGUAUACUGAGGCAAGGUGGGAAUAGUGGGUGGGGGUUCCCUUGGGAGGAACCCCUCAGACUGAGGGGUUACUCCCAGGGGCUGCACUCCAGGUAA